rnacentral:sRNA from 1 species
GGGGAAGGAUGAGAAGCUUCGACCAAGGUUCGACUUGAGCGCCAGCGAGAGAGCGUUGCCGCAGGCAACGAUCCGAAGGGCGAAGCGCGCAGCGCUGAGUAAUCCUUCCCCCACCACCA